AUUGAACGCUGGCGGAAUGCUUUACACAUGCAAGUCGAACGGCAGCACGGGUGCUUGCACCUGGUGGCGAGUGGCGAACGGGUGAGUAAUACAUCGGAACGUACCCAGUCGUGGGGGAUAACGUAGCGAAAGUUACGCUAAUACCGCAUACGUCCUGAGGGAGAAAGCGGGGGACCGUAAGGCCUCGCGCGAUUGGAGCGGCCGAUGGCGGAUUAGCUAGUUGGUGGGGUAAAGGCCGACCAAGGCGACGAUCCGUAGCGGGUCUGAGAGGACGGCCCGCCACACUGGAACUGAGAAACGGUCCAGACUCCGACGGGAGGCAGCAGUGGGGAAUUUUGGACAAUGGGCGAAAGCCUGAUCCAGCCAUUCCGCGUGAGUGAAGAAGGCCUUCGGGUUGUAAAGCUCUUUCGGCAGGGAAGAAACGGCUUGGGAUAAUACCCCGGGCUAAUGACGGUACCUGAAGAAGAAGCACCGGCUAACUACGUGCCAGCAGCCGCCGCCG
rnacentral:rRNA from 1 species